AGAAUCAACGCUGGCGGCGUGCCUAACACAUGCAAGUCGAACGAGAAAGUGGAGCAAUCCAUGAGUAAAGUGGCGCACGGGUGAGUAACACGUGACUAACCUACCCUUGAGUGGGGGAUAACCUAGAGAAAUCUGGGCUAAUACCGCAUAAUACCUUCGGGUCAAAGGAGCAAUUCGCUUAAGGAGGGGGUCGCGGCCGAUUAGUUAGUUGGCGGGGUAAUGGCCCACCAAGACUGUGAUCGGUAUCCGGCCUGAGAGGGCGCACGGACACACUGGAACUGAAACACGGUCCAGACUCCUACGGGAGGCAGCAGUGGGGAAUUUUGCGCAAGUGGGGGAAACCCUGACGCAGCAACGCCGCGUGGAGGAUGAAGCCCCGUUGGGGCGUAAACUCCUUUCGAUCGGGAAGAUAAUGACGGUACCGAGAGAAGAAGCCCCGGCUAACUUCGUGCCAGCAGCCGC
rnacentral:rRNA from 1 species